rnacentral:rRNA from 1 species
UACGGAGGGUGCGAGCGUUGUCCGGAAUCACUGGGCGUAAAGGGCGCGUAGGCGGCCUGAUAAGUAGGGGGUGAAAUCCUGUGGCUUAACCGCAGGGCUGCCUUCUAAACUGUCGGGCUAGAGCACGGUAGAGGCAGAUGGAAUUCCCGGUGUAGCGGUGGAAUGCGUAGAGAUCGGGAAGAACAUCAGUGGCGAAGGCGGUCUGCUGGGCCGUUGCUGACGCUGAGGCGCGACAGCGUGGGGAGCAAACAGG